rnacentral:rRNA from 1 species
GAUGAACGCUGGCGGCGUGCCUAAUACAUGCAAGUCGAGCGAACGGACGAGAAGCUUGCUUCUCUGAUGUUAGCGGCGGACGGGUGAGUAACACGUGGAUAACCUACCUAUAAGACUGGGAUAACUUCGGGAAACCGUAGCUAAUACCGGAUAAUAUUUUGAACCGCAUGGUUCAAAAGUGAAAGACGGUCUUGCUGUCACUUAUAGAUGGAUCCGCGCUGCAUUAGCUAGUUGGUAAGGUAACGGCUUACCAAGGCAAUGAUGCAUAGCCGACCUGAGAGGGUGAUCGGCCACACUGGAACUGAGACACGGUCCAGACUCCUACGGGAGGCAGCAGUAGGGAAUCUUCCGCAAUGGGCGAAAGCCUGACGGAGCAACGCCGCGUGAGUGAUGAAGGUCUUCGGAUCGUAAAACUCUGUUAUUAGGGAAGAACAUAUGUGUAAGUAGCUGUGCACAUCUUGACGGUACCUAAUCAGAAAGCCACGGCUAACUACGUG